CCAAUAGCGUAUAUUAAAGUUGUUGCAGUUAAAAAGCUCGUAGUUGAAUUUCGGGAUCAAGGAAUCGGUCAUGCCUUGGUAUGUACUGGUUUUAUUGGUUCUCACCUUCUAGAGAACCAUAAUGUCAUUCAUUUGAUGUUAUGGGGAAUUAGGACUGUUACCUUGAAAAAAUUAGAGUGUUUAAAGCAGGCUCGCGCUUGAAUACAUUAGCAUGGAAUAAUGAAAUAGGACGUUUGAUUCUAUUUUGUUGGUUUCUAGGAUCGACGUAAUGAUUAAUAGGGAUAGUUGGGGGCAUUAGUAUUCAACUGUCAGAGGUGAAAUUCUUGGAUUUAUUGAAGACUAACUACUGCGAAAGCAUUUGCCAAGGAUGUUUUCAUUAAUCAAGAACGAAAGUUAGGGGAUCGAAGACGAUCAGAUACCGUCGUAGUCUUAACCAUAAACUAUGCCGACUAGGGAUCGGAUGAUGUUAAUUUUUUAAUGACUCAUUCGGCGCCUUACG
rnacentral:rRNA from 1 species